AGGAUGGAAGACUAACUGGAAAAAGAGUUUUGGAGACCUAAAGAGUUCACAAGUACUAGAGGAGAUGGUAGCAGAUAGUAGACCCACUUUCGAUGGCUGCAGUAGUAGGGAACAAUGAAAAUUUGACUGAGUAAAUAGAAAGAGAGGACAGAGAGACCUAAUUGUACUACCCAUCAGAUUUCAUCAUGUGGCACACAUCAGAGCCAUCAGAUCAUGCAGCUCUUCACCACACCUCUCCUAGAUCGAGCCACAUAGGUCAAUCCAUAAAAAAUAAUGUGGACCACAACAUGCCUAAAAGCAACCACC
rnacentral:lncRNA from 1 species